GCCAAAGUGGCGGAACUGGCAGACGCGCACGACUCAAACUCGUGUUCCUCCGGGAGUGUGGGUUCGAUUCCCACCUUUGGCA
rnacentral:tRNA from 2 species